rnacentral:rRNA from 1 species
UUGAACGCUGGCGGCAGGCCUAACACAUGCAGGUCGAACGGUAACAGGAAACAGCUUGCUGUUUCGCUGACGAGUGGCGGACGGGUGAGUAAUGUCUGGGAAACUGCCUGAUGGAGGGGGAUAACUACUGGAAACGGUAGCUAAUACCGCAUAACGUCGCAAGACCAAAGAGGGGGACCUUCGGGCCUCUUGCCAUCGGAUGUGCCCAGAUGGGAUUAGCUAGUAGGUGGGGUAACGGCUCACCUAGGCGACGAUCCCUAGCUGGUCUGAGAGGAUGACCAGCCACACUGGAACUGAGACACGGUCCAGACUCCUACGGGAGGCAGCAGUGGGGAAUAUUGCACAAUGGGCGCAAGCCUGAUGCAGCCAUGCCGCGUGUAUGAAGAAGGCCUUCGGGUUGUAAAGUACUUUCAGCGGGGAUGAAGGGAGUAAAGUUAAUACCUUUGCUCAUUGACGUUACCCGCAGAAGAAGCACCGGCUAACUCCGUG